rnacentral:tRNA from 1 species
GGCUGUGUGGUCCAGUGGUAUGAUUCUCGCUUAGGGUGCGAGAGCGAGAGGUCCCGAGUUCAAUUCUCGGCACAGCCC